rnacentral:tRNA from 1 species
GGGUUUGUAGCUCGGCUGGUUAGAGCACACGCUUGAUAAGCGUGGGGGUUGAAGGUUCAAGUCCUCCAGACCCACCA